rnacentral:tRNA from 1 species
GCCCCGUUAGCUCAGCUGGUCAGAGCAGGAGACUCAUAAUCUUUUGGUCCUCGGUUCAAGUCCGAGACGGGGCA